GACAGCUCGCUCGCUUUCUCUCUGUCUGUCCCCUCCAGCAAUUUUCAUCCCUCACACUGUAUUACAUUGACAAGCGACUUUGUAGUCACCCUGGAAAGGUCUACCGGCGAGUGUGCUUGUGUGAAGAUGUUAUUACUAAUGUCGUGAGCGUGCUUGUGUUCAGAAUGCAUCGGUCUCGUGCGCUGCGUCGUGUGUUUGUUUGGGCGCUGCUGGGUGUGUGUUGUCGAGCGUUUGAACUGCAGGACACGAUCCAUGCGCUGAUCGAGGAGAACAUCCACCUUCAUGACCAGCUGGAGAACCUGACGAGAGCCCUGAGAGAACUGCGGCAACUCCUGUUCCACCACAACGACGAGCAUGACCACGAGCAUGAUGAAGAACUUCAACAUCUAUGGGAGGAAUGGUCACAACACAGCAUUACACCUGAGACUCACCUGCUUUUGGAGCAUGCUCUCUGUGGACAUGACCUUCAUGGCUCCGCCCACCUCAUUUCAGGACACACCCCCUUUCUCUUUAUUCUCACUGUCAUAAUGCUAGCACACUUUCUCUUUUGAAGUGCACAUAAAUAACUAUACCUCCCAUAACUGGUAAAUCUAAAUUUAGCAGCUGUUCCUUUUUAUUGAGAAUUGUGAUAGAGGUCAUUUUUAUAGUAUCAGGCCAGUGUUGAAGUUGAUAUCCAAGGAAUACAAUGCCACGAGGGAACAGAAUAACCACAAUGCUGUAUGAAUGCAAUUAUAAUUGUGAUAAACUGUUUAUAGAGCAAAUUGGACUGGUUUUGGGUUAUUAUAUUUACAGUAUAGUGGUUUGUUUUCACCCUGGAUCAUUCUGAUCAUUCUGA